UACGGAGGGUGCAAGCGUUAUCCGGAUUCACUGGGCGUAAAGGGCGCGUAGGCGGCGCGGUAAGUCACUUGUGAAAUCUCUGAGCUUAACUCAGAACGGCCAAAGUGAUACUGCAGUGCUAGAGUGCAGAAAAGGGCAAUCGGAAUUCUUGGUGUAGCGGUGAAAUGCGUAGAUAUCAAGAGGAACACCUGAGGCGAAGGCGGGGUUGCUAGGCUGACACUGACGCUGAGGCGCGAAAAGCCAGGGGGAGCAAAACGGGG
rnacentral:rRNA from 1 species